CCCUGCAGAGGCCCGGAGGAGCCUGUGACCCAGAGAACUAACAGCCCCUUCUGGAUUCUGUUUAUUUUCAUUUAACAAGCUCAGCAUGUCCCUGGUGGGAAGAGCUCCCCAGCUGGGGCAGAGUCCACAGUCGGCCUCACAGUCAUCCCUCUCAGCCAUUUCUACAUGCACACAGGUUUUUAGUGAUAUUUUCCAAAACACAUGUAUGCAUGUGCAUGCACGCGAGGGGGAACACACACACACACACACACACACACACACACACACACACAAACACGCAGGACUAGUUUGUAAACCAUUUUAAAAUUUUAUUUUACUUAUUUCAGAUAUAUCUUUUGGGAAAACAUUGGAACAAACCGCCCUGAAACGCACACACCCCUCACUUAGAUCAAGGGUUUGUAUAUUUGUCUUCAACUCUGAAAGGACUGGAAGAGUCUGGGCAAAGCAGGCAUGCCUAGAGUCCCUUCACAGUGCUCCUUGGCCCCUGUAGAUAUGCACAUGGAUAUAGACACUUCUGGACUUUCUGAAGGCAGACUGGCAGUCUUCUGCCCACUGUUCCCAGGUUUGUCUGGAUUGCAUAUCCUGGCUUGGCCCCAGGCCUAGGGUCAUUUUCUCUCCUGUGGGAGGUGCAGCAUCCUGUAAUUACACCCCACGUUCCUUCAGCCUUGGAGACAGAUGCUGGCUCCAUUCAGGAACCUUUGCUUCUCCUAGUGAGUUUGUGUGUAUCGUCUCCCCCAGCUCCAAGAGCCUCUCGGCCCAGAGCAAGGGUUCAUGUGUCUAAGGGACUGAGGGAAGGGCGUCCCUGCUGGGAUGUGGCUGUCUGUACAGACUACUUCCCACCAGUCUGGGUCAUCGCUCACCUGCCACUGGUAUUGUCCAGUUUUGCCUUUGUGACAAUGUGGUGCCUGGGCAAGGACCUGCGCACUUUUCUAGCUCGUUCUUCCUACUUCCUCGGGACACAAAGAGCUACUCUCCCCAGCACAAUCUUCUGUAAUUGUGUUUAUGGUGGCCUCUGCCUCCAAGCCUCCAGUGGGAAUUUCUAAGUGCCCCCUGAUGUUGGACAGAGGGUUAUUUCUGUGGUAGACCUCCCCGCAAGUCCAGAAGCACAUUCCUCUUCCAUUUCCCCCAUGCCCUCAGCUCAUCCGUUAAAGAGGUAGGCUCUCUUCGCAAUCCUUGAGAAUAGCUGUGGCCCUGUGGCUUUCUUUGGCCGGGGGGAGGGGAGGACACCUUCAAACAGAGGCAUGUGGAGGUUUGGCUUGGCCGUGUGCCCUGAGGUUUGCUUUUUCACUUCCUGGGAACCCUGUGGCCACCUUGAAAGUGAUGCUGUGCUAGCCUGCUAGAGGACAAGACAUAUGGCCAAGUAAGCCUUCUUGUCACCCCACCUCAGUCUGACACUCAGUCACCCUGAACAAUGGAGCCCAAGUGACUCAUAGAGGGGGACACUGGUCCUUCAAGAUACCCACUGUGGGUGUCUUGAGAGGAAGCAGGAGCCAAGGCGGUUCCGUCCAGCCAGUCCACAGGCCGUGAGCCUCAGUCUCUGUAACUUGGCGAAUAUAAGUAUGCCCCGAACUGUGGCUGGGAUGGAAUGAGUGAUUCAUGUGGAGGUCACACAGGGAGGACUCAGUCCCCAUGGCUCCUGUCACUGUCACCUCUCAGACAUGGUAAGUCACCUUCUUACUUCCUAGCAUUCUUCUUGAUUGUUCUAUUCUAAACUUUCUUGUCUGACUAAGCAUUCUAGAAGGUGCAGACAGGUAACUCUGAGUGUGAAGAGCUUUCUCUGGCUGAACAGCCUUCACUCUGACUGCAGAACAACUCUCUCCCUAACCUGUCACCUGGUCUCCUUCAACAGGCAGGGUUUUCUGUGAAGAUGUAGCCCUGGAGCAACAGGGCUACAAGUGAUAGGCAACCUGGAGCCUGGCCACCACCAGAAGCUUGGAAGAACCAGGAAGGGAUGAGAACAGUACCAGAGGGAGACCAAAAACACUUGUCUUUUGAAAAGAGUGUGCCUCCCAGGGACAUCAAGCAACUACGGCAUAAACUAGGACAAGAUGAGACACAUACCUUCAUCAAGUGGAAAGCAGUGAAAAAGAAAAGGGCAGACUGAGAGAAGAUAUUGGCAAGACGUAUCUCUGACGGAAAGAGCUACAUACACACGAAGAGGCGACCGGAUCCAGUAACGGAACAGCCCAUUAAACAUGGGCAAUAGUCUCACCGCAGCUUGAUAUGCCAUGGCUGGUUGACAGCCAUUGAGGCUGGCUCUUUUAUUAGGGGAAAUGGAGGAGUGGCUGGGUGAGGAGGAAGAGGGGAAGGGUGGGGGAGGGACUGGGAGGAGAGGAGGGAGGAGAAACUGUGGUCAGGAUGUAAAGUAAAUAAAACGAAGAGGGGAAAAAUAAACCCCUGAAUUUGAAACAAAGAAAGGGGAAAAAACAGAGACAAGAAGGCUUUGAACUGUCGAGACUUCCCACCCCAGCAGUCUGUCCCCGGCUCUGGCUGGCCCAGUCAGGGGUUUGGUCUUAGGUCCCUGAAAGUCCAACAGUGUGUCAUGCUUCCGGGCCCUGAAGCCUUCUGCUCCUGUCCACGGGACUGUGGUAUGUACUCUGUCCUCACUGGCUUUUCACAGCCCACUUUCUCUCCCAUGCUGCUUAGCUCUUUGGGGCAGUACAGCAGUGCCAAGGGGCUGAGAGGCACUGACAUUUUCCAGCUCCAGACCCUCAGAUGACAUCCUGGGUAUUGGCACUUCAGGCUGGUGUCUACCAUCCUCCCAUAGUCAGUGAUGGACACUGACAAUGGUGACAGGGAGAGAUUGAAAGGUUAGGAAAGCAGGUCCUUGGCUGAUUAGAUCUGGUUUCCAUGAGCCUCACUUUUCUUACCUGUAAAAUUAGCCUAGUCCUGUACUCAUCAACCUUAAGUCAUUUCAGGUGGAUGUCACUAGAUCAGCGCUCAACACCGUCAGUGCUUGGACGAGGACGAGGGUUGGCCAGAUCACGCUAUGGGCAUUGUUAUCUUUUCCUUUGGCCACUAGAACAUUUACCAAGGACUUCCCAUGGGUUAGGGACUCAGAGACAGGCCAUUCACUCUGUGGCUGAGGACAGUGCAAGUCACUUAAGCUGGGUAAACCCAGGGAUGGCCCGAUGGUGCCACACUGAGCCCCAGGGGCAGCACCCAUUCAGUCCACAACGCUGGCUCAAAUGGUCUCCACUGAAGACUAAGUCUCAUUGCCAAAUGGGUCCAGAUCACAGGCUCUGUCUGCACUCCUCUCCACACCAUGCCGGCUGCCCAUAGUAGCAUGUUUCAGGCUCUGGGCUCACACACCCUGGGUACAUCCCUGUCUCCCAGAUGAGUGAAACCAGGAAAGUCACCUUUCCUCCCACACUAGACCCCACCUGCUCCAGAGUGUGGCUGGCCCAACAAUCCACAGGCAGAGGCAGCAAACUGGGACAGAGCAGGGGCACCAUGGGCUUUGGGAAGGCAGAUUCAAGCCACAGGAGCCUAGAAUUCAGACAGACAAAUGCUUAUGCAAAGCUCAUCUCUGUGGCGUCAGUGGCUUCCUGAAAACCAACAGAAGACAAUGUCUGGUGGAUUCCUGAGCUGAGGAGAUGAGUGUGUGUGGACAGUUCCCAGCAUAAAAUCAGGGAGGGUCUUCCCACAGAGGGGAGAUGUGGGGGCCACACUUCCUGCCCUGGGCCAGCGGGGACAGUUAGUGUUGUGUUCCUGGUCCUCCAGCCCCUAUGGCAGAUCCUGGAACGUGCAGGCUCUGGCUCAUGGCUCCUCCGGGCUUUCCAUUUGGGUGGGACCUCCCUGGGAAUAAAGUUUAAGCCAUGACUCAUGAAGCAGACAGCAGGACGCAUCAGUGUCCUUCUGGUCUCCAGGUCCAGCCUUGCCUUGCUUGGUCAUGGAGUCAUACUGGUUUUUUCCCUCUAGCCCUUGGGAUACUGAAGACUGAGAAUGACCUCUCUCUGCACUCCCUUCCCUUGUCAUCCCCUUCCCUACUCUCCUCACCUCUUUGAUCCUUUUCUUAGGAGUUCCCGGACCAAAUAGGUCUGAGUUCAAACCUCCCUCUAUCCCCAUCCCAUGCAGGUGGACAGUCUUUGUGUCACACACCUGUUUGCACUUGUGACUUAGGGAGCAGGGCAAGCAGAAACACCAAGUAUCCGCCCUGGAGGCCCUGGGGCAGCCACACUGCCCCCACUUGCUCUGACCUCUGUUCAGCAAUCCUACAGCUGUAGGAACACGGUUGGAAACAUCUAAGGAAGCAACAGCCCCAUCUAGGUCUCCCAGGGAUCUGCCUCCAUGAAGAGGGGCCUCUGAUUGGGUUCACAGGCCUCCCUCCCAGUGCUGGCUAAUUUUAUGUCAACUUGACACAAGCUAGAAUCAUCUGAGAGGAGGGAGCCCCAGUUGAGAAAAUGCCUCCAUAAGAUUGGACAGUAGGCCAGCCUGUAAGGCAUUUCCUUAUUUAGUGACUAAUAGGGAGGGGCACAGCCCAUUGUGGGUGGUGCCAUCCCAGGACUGCUGGUUCUGGGUUCUAUAAGGCAGUAGGGUGAAAAAGGCACAUGGAGCAAGUCAGUAAGCAGCAUCCCUGCAUGGCCUCUGCAUCAGUUCCUGCCUCCAGGUUCCUGCCAUAUUUGAGUUCCUGCCCUGACUUCCUUCAGGGACUAAGAUAUGAAAUUUUAAGCCAAGUAAACAAUUCCUUCCCAGCCUGCUUUUGGUCAUGGUGUUUUAUCACAUCGAUGGAAACUGUAAUGAAGACACUCCCCUUUGGAGGCACCAGAGUUUGAGGGUUGGACUUGUCCUGUCAGGACUGCUAGUUCCUUCUGCAGGGGUUGUCAUGCUGGAUACAGGCAGGGGAAGUCAGUGGGGUUUGGCACAGAGCAUCUUUUGGUUUCCUCACGUUACCCUGUACCUUCUGCCUGGAGCCCUCAAAGGCCUGCAGAUCAGUGACAGCCCAUCUCAGAGCCUCCUUACUGCAUCAGUGGGGCAGCCAGAUGCCCGAGAGAGGUGGCUGGGAGAGGCCUGGUGACCACUCUGUGACGCCCAGGCCAGACGUUUCUAGAGCCCUCCCUCAGUCUGCCAGACGGCGCCUGAGCAGGCAGAGGGUCUGGCAACGGGACAGGACACUAACCGUGACGAGGGUAGUAAUCACAGAGCUACUGCAGCAUCCAAGGGCAUCGAGGGGCCAAGGCUGAGGCCAUCCAGUCCUGGCUGAGGUAGAAGGAAGACUGUGCUGAGGUCAGCCAGCUUCACAGAUGAAAACACAGAUCAUGGGUGGGUGGAGACUUCCCUGAGCUUCCUACUGUGUGCUCUCCAGGCCAGGUCUUCAGUACGAUCUGUGGGCCAACACCUGGCACCUUUACAGCCAAGCUCACAAGAACUUGAUGUGAGGAGACCCCGGGGCCUCCUGAGGCCCAUGGCUCAGCAGGGGAAAGCAGGACACACAGCACACAGGUGAGAAAAUGAACCUGAGAAGUUUGGUGGGGAUAAGUGUCAUGGAGACCCCAAGACACAAGACAAGGAGGGCUUGGGGACCUCCCCAUCGGGGACUACUUUCUGUCCUGGAGCUUAGACACUGUGGUAGAGGGAAUCCCUGGAAGAGCUGGGGAGGAGGCUGCUCUGGGCAGAGGGAACAGCCGUGCAAAGGUCCUGAGGUUGCACAGCUUGUCAUCAUAGAAUGGAAGGAAGGGCAGUAUGAUCAAGUGAAGAAGGCAGGAGCUGAUGUGACUGUCAUAACUUGACUGUGACGAGAAGGUUAGCCAUGGUGGGCAGUAGUAGAAGGCCUCACCUAAAGGCCAGCUGCAGGGGGUGUAGGAGAGAGAAUCCUGGAGAUGAGGAUGUCUCCUUCCUCUCUGUAUGACAAGCCGGUCCCUCCUGGCCUUUACUGGAGUUUUCACUUUCUGCCUCUGGGUCCUUUGUAAGUAGAAGUUGAGUCCCCCAAGACAAAGACUCAGGCCUCGAUCACAGUUUCACCUUCCCAAAGAGCCUGGUACGAAAGGGGACAGUCUGAGAGUCCUGCCCUGACUCAUGGUGUGACCUGGCUCUACUCUGUGUCCUCUCUGGGCCUGCCUCUUCCCUGCUCAGGAGGGGGCUAGUCAGGAGCCACAUGUGGCAGCUGCCUGUCUCUGAGCAUGUCUUUAGCCCCUGUCUCAUCUGUGGAAUAAGGCUGGCAGAGUCCCAAGGUCACUAUGAGGUCAUCGGUCACGGUGGGAAAUUCCUAUUCUUUGCCUCUCUAUGGCUGUUGCUAGGGCUGUCAUCAGGAUAAUUAUGUAGACCUUGCCCCGUGUCCCUUCUGGCUUCAGAGAAGGUGGAUGGCUCAGUAGUCAGUAUG